AGCAGUAGCCGCGGGAAUACGAAGGGGGCUAGCGUUGUUCGGAAUUACUGGGCGUAAAGCGCACGUAGGCGGAUACUUAAGUUAGGGGUGAAAUCCCAGGGCUCAGCCCUGGAACUGCCUUUAAUACUGGGUAUCUUGAGUUCGAGAGAGGUAAGUGGAAUUCCGAGUGUAGAGGUGAAAUUCGUAGAUAUUCGGAGGAACACCAGUGGCGAAGGCGACAUACUGGCUCAUUACUGACGCUGAGGCUCGAAAGCGUGGGGAGCAAACAGGAUUAGAUACCCCUGUAGUCCCUGUCUCUUAUAC
rnacentral:rRNA from 1 species